rnacentral:tRNA from 1 species
GGGGCACUAGCUCAGGUGGUUAGAGCGCACCCCUGAUAAGGGUGAGGUCGCUAGUUCGAGUCUAGCGUGCCCCACCG